rnacentral:rRNA from 1 species
AGUGGCGCACGGGUGAGUAACACGUGGGAACCUGCCUUUAGGUACGGAAUAACGUCUGGAAACGGACGCUAAUACCGUAUAUUUCCUCCGGGAAAAAGGUCCGCCGCCCAAAGAGGGGCCCGCGUCAGAUUAGCUUGUUGGUGAGGUAAUGGCUUACCAAGGCUACGAUCUGUAGUUGGUCUGAGAGGAUGAUCAGCCACACUGGGACUGAGACACGGCCCAGACUCCUACGGGAGGCAGCAGUGGGGAAUAUUGGACAAUGGGGGCAACCCUGAUCCAGCAAUGCCGCGUGUGUGAUGAAGGCCCUAGGGUUGUAAAGCACUUUCAACGGUGACGAUGAUGACGGUAACCGUAGAAGAAGCCCCGGCUAACUUCGUGCCAGCAGCCGCGGUAAUACGAAGGGGGCGAGCGUUGUUCGGAAUUACUGGGCGUAAAGGGCGCGUAGGCGGUCUAUCCAGUUGGGCGUGAAAGCCCUGGGCUCAACCCAGGAAUUGCGUCCAAUACUAAUAGACUAGAGACCGAGAGAGGAUAGUGGAAUUUCCAGUGUAGAGGUGAAAUUCGUAGAUAUUGGAAAGAACACCAGUGGCGAAAGCGACUAUCUGGCUCGGUUCUGACGCUGAGGCGCGAAAGCGUGGGGAGCAAACAGGAUUAGAUACCCUGGUAGUCCACGCCGUAAACGAUGUCUGCUAGGUGUCGGGAGGUAACCUUUCGGUGCCGCAGCUAACGCAUUAAGCAGACCGCCUGGGAAGUAC